rnacentral:rRNA from 1 species
CUCAGGAUGAACGCUAGCUACAGGCUUAACACAUGCAAGGUCGAGGGGCAGCAUGGUCUUAGCUGCUAAGACUGAUGGCGACCGGCGCACGGGUGAGUAACGCGUAUCCAACCUGGCCCUUAGUAGGGAACAGCCCGGCGAAAGUCGGAUUAAUGCCCUAUGUUUUCCAAUGAUGGCAUCUGACUUGGAACAAAGAUUCAUCGCUAAGGGAUGGGGAUGCGUCUGAUUAGCUUGUCGGCGGGGUAACGGCCCACCGAGGCGACGAUCAGUAGGGGUUCUGAGAGGAAGGUCCCCACAUUGGAACUGAGACACGGUCCAAACUCCUACGGGAGGCAGCAGUGAGGAAUAUUGGUCAAUGGAGGCAACUCUGAACCAGCCAAGUAGCGUGCAAGGAGGACGGCCCUAUGGGUUGUAAACUGCUUUUAUGAGGGGAUAAACUGCGCCACGCGUGGUGUAUUGCAUGUACCUCAUGAAUAAGGACCGGCUAAUUCCGUGCCAGCCGCCGC